UUAAGCAUAUCAAUAAGCGGAGGAAAAGAAACCAACAGGGAUUGCCCCAGUAACGGCGAGUGAAGCGGCAACAGCUCAAAUUUGAAAUCUGGCCCCUCGGGUCCGAGUUGUAAUUUGUAGAGGAUGCUUUUGGCAAGGCGCCGCCCGAGUUCCCUGGAACGGGACGCCACAGAGGGUGAGAGCCCCGUCUGGCUGGCCGCCGAGCCUCUGUAAAGCUCCUUCGACGAGUCGAGUAGUUUGGGAAUGCUGCUCAAAAUGGGAGGUAUAUGUCUUCUAAAGCUAAAUAUUGGCCAGAGACCGAUAGCGCACAAGUAGAGUGAUCGAAAGAUGAAAAGCACCUUGAAAAGAGGGUUAAAUAGUACGUGAAAUUGUUGAAAGGGAAGCGCUUGUGACCAGACUUGGGCGCGGCGGAUCAUCCGGGGUUCUCCCCGGUGCACUUCGCCGCGUCCAGGCCAGCAUCAGUUCGUCGCGGGGGAAAAAGGCUCCGGGAACGUGGCUCCCCUGGGAGUGUUAUAGCCCGUUGCACAAUACCCUGCGGUGGACUGAGGACCGCGCAUCUGCAAGGAUGCUGGCGUAAUGGUCACCAGCGACCCGUCUUGAAACACGGACCAAGGAGUCGUCUUCGUAUGCGAGUGUUCGGGUGUCAAACCCCUACGCGUAAUGAAAGUGAACGCAGGUGAGAGCUUCGGCGCAUCAUCGACCGAUCCUGAUGUUCUCGGAUGGAUUUGAGUAAGAGCAUACGGGGCCGGACCCGAAAGAAGGUGAACUAUGCCUGUAUAGGGUGAAGCCAGAGGAAACUCUGG
rnacentral:rRNA from 1 species